AACAAGUUCAGCGAGAUAAUGUUUGAUAUAAAUUUAAAAGAACCCAUUUCUGCGAAUAAACACUGUCAAAUCUAAAACGAUGUCUUAUUCAUUUGUACUCUUAUUUUGCCUUUUCUGUACCUUUUACACAAGUUACAUCGCUGACGGAAAGCUGUAUCUGAUAAGACACAAAACAACACGAUUAGUUUUGGGACUAGACAACAACGGUCUAGUACAACUCCAAUAUUUUGCUGGUAAGAAAACACAGUCAUGGAUGCUGGGGUGUGCCAUUCCCCCAACAGUUACUAUUACUAACAAAGGCAAUGGCAAAUUACUAGAUAUAAGCUAUGAUCCUUCUCCCGGAAGAAACAUCAGUACGUACCAUAUAAAACAUGGAGGUAUAAAUCAAAGAUGGUACGUUAAUUUUGACGAUACCAUAGUCAGUGCACAGAAAAAUUUGGUUCUCAGCAGCGCGGACGGUACAUAUAAAGCAGGAAAAACUAUAAUUGCAUGGACCAACAAUGGAACAGCCCAUGAUCAGUUUGUGUUGGAGACGUAUGGUCCUCGUAUAUCUAAUAAAGCUUAAAUUACAUUUAAAAUAAAGUUUAAUAAUAUGUGUUUCUU